GGCAAGCUCUCCGAGUGGUGGUCACGUGACACGCGGCGGAAGUUCCUGCCGGGAGUGCGGUGCCUGCAGGAGCAGUACAGCGGGUUCACAAACCCCAACACGGGAAUCUCGCUCGAUAUAAACACCACCAUGGAGACCAGCGUGGCCGAUAACGCGGGUCUCAGACUAGCCUUCAAGGCAUUUCGGGUGUACCAGACCAAGUUCGAGGAGCGGUACUCCCUGUACACCAUACCGGGCACCGAGCCCAAGAGCAUGGAGCAGAUCUU